UGGAAAUUCGAAGCCAAGUAAGUCCGUGUC
rnacentral:piRNA from 1 species